GUCGGGAUAGCUCAGAU
rnacentral:tRNA from 25 species